rnacentral:rRNA from 1 species
AUGCAUGCGACACGACAGUCGACCGGUCUAGCGGGCCAGCGACCUGCGCCCCGGCCGGCUCUGCUCUCAGUUGACGACCGAGAGCUGCGGGAAGGCGAAGUGCGGGUACGGCGACAGCGGCGAGAGGGGCGGCAGGCUGCAGAUCACCUUCAGCCCCUCCCAGAUGUCGGCGUCUCUAGCCGCCGCCACGCCGUCCCAGCUCGCUGGCGCGCCCCCGCCUGCAGCGCUGUAGUUCGCGGCAAUAGCACCCUCGUCAUCAUCCUCUUUCAGCUGCAGCCUCUCCUUCUUCACCACCCUCAGGCGCUCCUCCUCCUGUGCCGGCCUCAUCCUUUUGCCGCCGGUGGGCACGGCGGCGAUGGUGUCGGCGAGGGGAGCUGGCGAGGUCCAUUGGAUGGAUUGGGUGCCGACCUCGUUGGGGAAGUUGAGGAUAGCCUUGGGCCCGCGGAGGCGGAAGGCGGCGCAGUCGUAGGCUCGCGCGGCCUCCACGGCGUCGUCGUAGGUGCCGAGCCACACGCGCGCCCCCUUCCGCGCCGGGUCCCGGAUCUCCGCCGCGAACUUGCCCCACGGCCGCAGCCGCACGCCCCGGUACCGCCGGAAGUCGUCGUCGUACUCCUCCUGUCCCUCCACGUAGCCGCAGCUCUCCUGCUGAGGCUGCCGCUCAAGGACCGUCCUCGCCGGCUUCGGCGGCAGCGACACGGAGAGCGCCGGCCUCCGCCACCCAGGCGGCGACGAAGGGCUCGAAUCGGAGUCGCCGCUGCUGCUGGCGAGGGCGUCGGCGUGGAGGUCGUCGAGGAGGUGGGCGCGGAUGAGGUCGAGGUGCCGGUGCGUGAACGCCAUGGUUGCCGUUGCACUGACCCUGAGAGGGGAGAGUCACCGUCUAGCUCCUGCGCUGGUGUGGCUGGCUGGAGAGAGAGCUCGGGAGCGUGGAGUGUGGUCUGGUGGUGCAGCCCUCCUCCGGUGCGGGCGCUAAUAAAGGGCAGGGGAUAA